UACGUAGGUGACAAGCGUUGUCCGGAUUUACUGGGCGUAAAGAGCGCGCAGGCGGUCGAUCAAGUCGAGUGUGAAAGCCCCCGGCUCAACUGGGGAGGGUCAUUCGAAACUGGUCGACUCGAAGGCAGGAGAGGGUAGUGGAAUUCCCGGUGUAGUGGUGAAAUGCGUAGAUAUCGGGAGGAACACCAGUGGCGAAGGCGACUACCUGGCCUGUUCUUGACGCUGAGGCGCGAAAGCUAGGGGAGCGAACGGGG
rnacentral:rRNA from 1 species